CUUUGCCGUCCAGUUUGCAGUUCUGGCACCACUCCGGCCCUGCACCCUUUCUUCCCUCUGCCACACGACUCAGCCUUGGCACCUGAACCAAAGCUGAUGGGAAAACCCAACCUCUAACUGGAACAUUGUUAGUUUCAUGGGAGAGAGAAAGAGACAAGGCGAACGAUGUCCUGACUUCUAACCCUCUGCACAAAAGCAGCCCACAUCACUCUUUUUGGUGAAAGCAAGUCGUGCGACCAUUCCUGAGCUCUAGAGCAUGGGAAUAUAUCUUCACACAGAGAGGAAGAGGAGCAAUGCAAGAAAGAAACUGGAACAUUUGGUGAUCGAGAACUUGUCUUCGCUACUUCCUCCUCUGAUGUCUUCUCUCCCAAGUGCUACGCCCACGUGACAAACUAUGCACUUCUUGGUUCAUUUGCUGACGGCCGUCUCCUCCCCUCCAGAUGCUGGUCUCCACAAGAGCAGGAGCGUCAUCUAUUUUGGGCACCAUUGUGCCCCUGACAUCCAUAGCAGCACCGGUUUAACAGCACUUCCUUCUCGAUGAUGCGUUCAACUGCCGACUCCUCAAAAGGUCUGGGAAAGCAGCUCACAAUGGCUUCUGCACGUUGCUUCUUAUUUUUAGUAACAGUGCCCCCCGGGUGUUACAUUUAAUUGUAUUUUCUGGUAAUGUUCUUGUAGUGCUGGUCACUCCACUUUUUCACUAAUUCGUCUCUUUGUGCAGAAAAUAGACCCCUGGGCCACAGUGCCGGCACUUAAAAUGGACAAUUAGAAGCAGCUUUUGAGAAGAGAAAGUGCGAGGGUCCAAGAGGGCUGGGUGGGCUGCCUGGGCUGCGCCACACUCCGAGGACAUGCCACACUCCGAGGACAUGCCAUACUCCGAGGACAUGCCACACUCCGAGGACAUGCCACACUCCGAGGACACGCCAGGACACUUGAAUACCAAAGGUCAGCGCUCCGUGUCUUUCAUCCUCUUUGUUUCCGAAGAAACUGCUUUCAGUUUAAAGAACAUGCCCAGGUAAU